rnacentral:rRNA from 1 species
UACGACUACAUAUCAGGCAUAUCAAUAAGCGGAGGAAAAGAAACUAACUAGGAUUCCCUCAGUAACGGCGAGUGAAGCGGGAAGAGCUCAAAUUUGAAAUCUUCAAGGUUUUACCUUGACGAAUUGUAGUUUAAAGAAGUGUUUUCUGUUGGAGUUUUGGUAAAAGUUCUUUGGAAUAGGACAUCAUAGAGGGUGAGAAUCCCGUAUUUGACCAUUAUUUCCAACUUUGUGAUACACUUUCAAAGAGUCGGAUUGUUUGGGAAUGCAGUCCAAAAUGGGUGGUAAAUUUCAUCUAAAGCUAAAUACUGGCGAGAGACCGAUAGCGAACAAGUACCGUGAGGGAAAGAUGAAAAGAACUUUGAAAAGAGAGUUAAACAGUACGUGAAAUUGUCAAAAGGGAAACGUUUGACACCAGUGUUGUUUUCUCGAAAAUCAAUUAAAAAUAAAUUUGAUUUUGUGUUGUAUUGACUUUAAUCAAGCUUUCUUCACUUUUUUCAUGUCUAUUUUUAAUGCACUUUUCGUUUAACAAGUCAACAUCAGUUUCUUUUGUUGUAAAAGGGUCAUUGGAAGGUGGCUUUCUUUUCGGAGAAAGUGUUUAUAGCCUUUGACUUCUGCAAUCGGAGAGAUUGAGGUCUGCAGCGUAGAUCCUUCUGGAUUAGAUACAUUUGUGCUAAGUUAUAGCCUUUCAUAGACAACUUGUUGACUAUGAUCUGUCAUGUAGCUUACUCGCUUAUGCUAUUUUACCUACGCUUAGGAUGUUGACGCGCGUGUGUGCGUG